UCCCAUCAAAAGCAUUCAUCUUCAUUCAUGAUACUGCUGGACAAUGAAGAAGAGAUACAGCCAACAAACUAAGCUGAAGUGCAUUUGGCCGACACAUGUUGAACCAAAACACCUUUGCAUUUUGGGCAUUUCAUUGAUUUCCCUCAACAAAAAUCCAAGUUUAAAUACGAAUGAUACUGACAUGUAAGUCAACAUUUGAAAUAUAAGAAGAGAAUAAAGCUUUGACUUAGUAAAGAAGCAACAAGAUUAUCUCAUCAUAUAGAAAUUAAUACAGGCUUGUUCCAACGGCAGGUUAAAACAAAUAGGAUUCAUACUAUUUCCAUGCAUCUCCUCCUAAAACAAUGCUGAAGUCAAAAAGUACAACAACAAGUUAGGAAGCAUCAGGGAAAGUUGAUGACUAGGCAUGUUAGAUGCCUCUGUAUUACUCCUGCAUGGGCCAUUCGAUAACAAAACAUAUGGUUCUGAAACUUAAUUAAGUUCAUCCUAACAGGGCCAUGGCAGUGUUUUGCAAAUCCAACUGAUUAAAGCUUUACCAUAAAAGUGACAUGCCAAUUUUGAAGGAACUUAACCAGCUGUGAAUUUAUUAGACGUGCCCCAUAUUGCAUAUGCAGAUGUGCAUUCGUAUGUUCAUCAAAAUAACAGAUCCAAUUCCAAUGCCUCCAUUAAGAACAUCAAUAUUGUUUACCAUAAAGGCGUGUUUUCCACUAUUGGCAUCCUGAAUUAUAAUACUAUCACUCAGUGUCAUUUUUCAAUUCCUCAAAGAAGAUCUUCACCAAUGUCGGUAUCAUUUGAGGUCUUGUCAGAAAGCAUUUUCUUCAUUUUCUUUUUCAAAGCCUUAUCAAAGUCAGAAUAUGAUAAUGAUAACACCUGGUUCAGCAGCAAUUUGACUCCACACUUUUUCACUAGUGCAUACCUUGGUUUUAUUCUCUCUUCCAAACUGUAGCCAAAAUAUUGAGGGAAUUUAACAAGCUCUUCUUUUGAAUAAUCCAUGGUCAAAAAGAAUUCCCACUUUGGUAUCAAAUUUUCUGCCAAGCUAAAAGUAUAUAAAGCUCCAUAUCUUGAAAUCAUAAUUCCGACUUCUUCUAUACUGUACCCCCUUCCUAAGAAAAAUUCUGUCACAGGCUUCAAAUUGGCCUCGACACUGAGGCCAAAUGUCUGUGGACAUCGAUGCAGAAGAACAGCAACAUUAACCCCCAUUGAAUGGAAGUAUUCAGCUGUAGGCCGUAGUUUUUCUUCCACUCUGUAACUUAUAAUGUUUGGACAACGUGUUAGAAUCUUACCAAUACUCUCUGCUGAGAGACCCAUCUCUUGAAGGAAAUCUACGGUCACUUUAACUUUUUGCCUGCUAUAAGUCAAAAGUGCUGGAAAACGGUAUAUAACUUUAGCCCAUUGUCUCUUGUCCACACCCAAAUUUUCUAAGAAUGUCAUGGUGGAUAUGAGAUUUUCAGAAAGACUAAUUCCACACAGUUGAGGUCUUUUGACAAGGAUGGUUGGAAGGUCUGAUUUAGGUACACCAAGAUCAAGAAGGAACUCAACUACUGGCUUAAUUUUGCCCUCCAAGCUGUAGUAAGCAAAAGCAGGAAAUCUGCAUGUAAUUCCCUUGAUCUGUUCAAGAUUCAUGCCAAGGUCCAUAAGAUAAACAAUAUGAGGGGGAAGCUUCCCAGCAGGGCCUGUCUCGCUUACUCUAGACACAGCUUUAAGCUUCUUGGAAUCAAGUGUUAUCUGGGAAGGAGAUAGAGGUUGAACCGGUUUUCCUUUAACAGAUGGGUUUGGAAAGUUCUCUACUAAAUCUACCAAAACACUUCUGUGCUCUUCAAGAAGAGAUUCUAGAUAUGGAAUAAGAGCAUCCCUGAUUUCUAGAGUUGUGAGCUCUCGUCUAGAUACCGAGAUUUAUGAACAGAAUGAAGCCUUGAGACAAGAUGGUCAAUGAACAGGUCCGAUUUGUUGAUAGUUCUAGCAGCAACUGCAUUGCUCAAACCUUGUUUCUUCAAGAACAAAGUUAAGACAGCCUUGGCUUCUUCUUUCUCUGCUGCCAAUAGGGUUGGAGGCACUAUUUGUGAGCUGAAUGAUCCAUCUACCCCAGAAUCAGCUUUUAUAAUAUUGAAAUAAAUUGGUCAAUUUUACAAAGAGAAAAGGAUACAUGCUAACAUUAACAACUUUAAGGAACUUAAACUAGCACUACAAAGAAUUCUACAUAAAAAUUUAAAAUUAACUCUUACCAAGCUUUACUUGGCAAGAGAAGAGUUUCCUCGGAAGAGAGAGUUGAGUCCUACGAACAAAGAGAACUCCUCUAGAGAGAUAAAUGAGGGUCAAAGAGCGGAUUGCAGGGAAUGUUCUCAUCUUUUUCAGCUAAAGUUGUAAUUGAAGAAUGCUUUGGAGGCGAAGGUGGAAGAUUUAUCUUGUUAUAGAGAACUUGAUUUGAUUGAAAUUUUCUUCUAGUGAGUGACAAGAGCAGGCAGUGGUGGUGAGGAAAAUGACUGGUGUUGGACAUGUUCUU
rnacentral:misc_RNA from 1 species